CAUGCACGAAAGCGUGGGGGAGCCAAACAGGAUUAGAUACCCCUGGGUAAGUCCCACGCCCUUAAAACGAUGUCGGACUUAGUCGUUCGGGAGCCAGCCAAUGCCACUGGAGUGAACGCAGCUAACGCGUGAAGUCGUCCCGCCUGGGGAGUACGGCCGCAAGGUUAAAACUCCAAAGGAAUUGACGGGGACCCGCACAAGCGGUGGAUGAUGUGGAUUAAUUCGAUGCAACACGAAAAACCUUACCUACCCUUGGCAUGCCAGGAACCUUGCUGAGAGGCGAGGGUGCCUUCGGGAGCCUGGACACAGGUGCUGCAUGGCUGUCGUCAGCUCGUGUCGUGAGAUGUUGGGUUAAGUCCCGCAACGAGCGCAACCCUUGUCACUAGUUGCCAUCAUUUGGUUGGGCACUCUAGCGAGACUGCCGGUGACAAACCGGAGGAAGGUGGGGAUGACGUCAAGUCCUCAUGGCCCUUAUGGGUGGGGCUUCACACGUCCAUAACAAUGGUCGGUACAGAGGGUUGCCAAACCGC
rnacentral:rRNA from 1 species